rfam:TPA: Bos taurus chromosome 8, whole genome shotgun sequence.
UCCCUGGUGGCUGAGACGGUAAAAGCGUCUGUCUACAAUGCAGUAGACCUGGGUUUGAUGCCUGGGUUGGGAA